rnacentral:piRNA from 1 species
UGAUCAGACGAACUACGAACCCCUGGA